rnacentral:rRNA from 1 species
GUAAGUAAAAAUUUAAACUUAGUUUCGAGUGAAUGCUAUCUAGGGACUUGACACAUGCGAGUCGAAUGCCAAACACUAUGUGUUUGGACCAUGGCGAACGGGUGAGUAAUGAAUAGGCAAGCUACCCAUAGGAUUGGUGGAAUACCAAAUUUUGAAAGGAUAAUUUCCGCCUAUGGAUGUACCUAUUGAAUAGAUUAGGUAGUUGGUAAGGUAACGGCUUACCAAGCCAAUGAUCUAUAGUUGGUCUGAGAGGAUGAUCAACCACAGUGGGAAUGAGAAAGGCCCACACGAGCAAAGUAUCGGCAGCAGUGCGGAAUCUUGGUCAAUGGCCGAAAGGCUGAACCAGUCACCUAGAAGGAUGAAAACAUUAAUUUGAUAAAGUCCUAACGGAAAGGAGGAUAAUGACUGUACUUUCCUAUUAAUCCCGACCAAUCUCGUGCCAGCAGUCGCGGUAAUACGAGAGGGGUAAGCAUUAUUCAUCAUUAAUGGGUCUAAAGGGUACGUAGGCUGUCUCAUAAGACUGGAUGGUCUCGAACUAAAUGAAUAAGAGCUUUCCAGUAACUAUGAAACUAGAGUGUAAUGGAGGAAAGAGGAACUCCGAGAGUAGGGAUGGAAUCUAUUGAUCCUCGGAAGACCGCUUAAGGCGAAGGCUUCUUUCUAACUAAACACUGACGCUGAGGUACGAAAGUAUGGGGAGCAAAACGGAUUAGAGACCCGUGUAGUCCAUACCGUAAACGAUGAGUGCCUUAGAUUGGUUAUUAAAUCAGUCUAUAAAUGUAGAUUAAAGCACUCCACCUGGGGAGUACUGCCGCAAGGUUGAAACCCAAAAGUAUAGAGGGUCUUGAAAACCAGCAGUGAAGCAUGUUGUUUAAUGUGAUGAUCCGCACAACAUCUUACCACUCCUUGAAUGUUACACAGGCGUUGCAUGGCUGUCUUCAGUUCGUGUCGUGAGAUGUAAGGUUAAGUCCGCAUAACGAACAAAACCCUUGCAAUUAGUUAAUUUCUAAUUGAGCAUCCAGUGAUAAACUGGAAUAAUUAGGACUAAGACAAGCCCUCAUGGCCCUUAUGGAGUGGGCUACAGACGUGCAGCUAGGGGGAAUACAAUAGGAUCCAAUAAGGUAACUUGGAGGUAAUCCCCAAAUUUCCCCUUUGUGGAUUGAGCUCUGUAACUCGAGCUCAUGAAUUAGGAAUUGCUAGUAAUCGCGAAUCACCACGUCGCGGUGAAAUUAAAGCUUCAAGAUCUACUAACUGCCUGUCACGGGCUGGGAGUAAGCUAUACCUGAAGUUGUUGAUUUUCUACGGAGUCAUUAUUAAUUUUAAUAAUUGGUGUCCAUUGAAAUAGACAUCCAAGGAUAGUAAACGACUGGUCUGAAGUCAUAACAAGGUAGCCGUUCGGGAACGAGUGGCUGAAUGGUUAUAUCC